GACGAACGCUGGCGGCGUGCCUAAUACAUGCAAGUAGAACGCACAGGAUGCACCGUAGUUUACUACACCGUAUUCUGUGAGUUGCGAACGGGUGAGUAACGCGUAGGUAACCUGCCUGGUAGCGGGGGAUAACUAUUGGAAACGAUAGCUAAUACCGUAUAAGAACAUUUACUGCAUGGUAGAUGUUUAAAAGGUGCAAGAGCAUCACUACCAGAUGGACCUGCGUUGUAUUAGCUAGUUGGUGAGGUAACGGCUCACCAAGGCAACGAUACAUAGCCGACCUGAGAGGGUGAUCGGCCACACUGGGACUGAGACACGGCCCAGACUCCUACGGGAGGCAGCAGUAGGGAAUCUUCGGCAAUGGGGGGAACCCUGACCGAGCAACGCCGCGUGAGUGAAGAAGGUUUUCGGAUCGUAAAGCUCUGUUGUUAAGGAAGAACGUGUGUGAGAGUGGAAAGUUCACACAGUGACGGUACUUAACCAGAAAGGGACGGCUAACUACGUGCCAGCAGCCGCGGUAAUACGUAGGUCCCGAGCGUUGUCCGGAUUUAUUGGGCGUAAAGCGAGCGCAGGCGGUUAGAUAAGUCUGAAGUGAAAGGCAGUGGCUCAACCAUUGUAGGCUUUGGAAACUGUUUAACUUGAGUGCAGAAGGGGAGAGUGGAAUUCCAUGUGUAGCGGUGAAAUGCGUAGAUAUAUGGAGGAGCACCGGUGGCGAAAGCGGCUCUCUGGUCUGUAACUGACGCUGAGGCUCGAAAGCGUGGGGAGCGAACAGG
rnacentral:rRNA from 1 species